UUUCCGUAGGUGAACCUGCGGAAGGAUCAUUAAAGAGAUCAUGCCCUCACAGGUAGACCUCCCACCCUUUGUUUACAAUACCUUUGUUGCUUUGGCGGGCCCGUUUGGCCCCGCGCUGAACAACCGGCCCCGGCUGGUCAGUGCCCGCCAGAGAACCAAAAACUCUGAAUUAAAUGUCGUCUGAGUACUAUGUAAUAGUUAAAACUUUCAACAACGGAUCUCUUGGUUCUG
rnacentral:misc_RNA from 1 species